GACGAACCGUGCGAACGUUGUUCGGAAUCACUGGGCUUAAAGGGAGCGUAGGCGGACUUGUAAGUCAGUGGUGAAAUCUGUGGGCUUAACCCACAAACUGCCAUUGAUACUGCAGGUCUAGAGUACAGUUGCCGUUGGCGGAAUAUGACAUGUAGUGGUGAAAUACUUAGAUAUGUCAUAGAACACCGAUUGCGAAGGCAGCUAACGAAGCUGUAACUGACGCUGAGGCUCGAAAGUGCGGGGAUCAAACAGG
rnacentral:rRNA from 1 species